AUCGGUACGGGUUGUGGGAGCAAGAGCCCGGAGAUGGAUUCUGAGACACGAAUCCAGGCCCUACGGGGCGCAGCAGGCGCGAAAACUUUACAAUGCGGGAAACCGUGAUAAGGGAACUCCGAGUGCCCGUAAAAUCGGGCUGUCCAUCUGUUUAAAUAACAGGUGAAGAAAGGGCCGGGCAAGACCGGUGCCAGCCGCCGCGGUAAUACCGGCGGCUCGAGUGGUGGCCACUAUUACUGGGCUUAAAGCGUUCGUAGCUGGUCUGUUAAGUCUCUGGGGAAAUCUACUGGCUUAACCAAUAGGCGUCUCAGGGAUACUGGCAGACUAGGGACCGGGAGAGGUGAGAGGUACUCCAGGGGUAGGAGUGAAAUCCUGUAAUCCUUGGGGGACCACCUGUGGCGAAGGCGUCUCACCAGAACGGCUCCGACAGUGAGGGACGAAAGCUGGGGGAGCAAACCGGAUUAGAUACCCGGGUAGUCCCAGCCGUAAACGAUGCGCGUUAGGUGUAUCGGUGACCACGAGUCACCGACGUGCCGAAGAGAAAUCGUGAAACGUGCCGCCUGGGAAGUACGGUCGCAAGGCUGAAACUUAAAGGAAUUGGCGGGGGAGCAC
rnacentral:rRNA from 1 species